GAUGAACGCUGGCGGCGUGCCUAAUACAUGCAAGUCGAGCGAAUGACGAGGAGCUUGCUCCUCUGAUUUAGCGGCGGACGGGUGAGUAACACGUGGGUAACCUGCCUGUAAGACGGGGAUAACUCCGGGAAACCGGAGCUAAUACCGGAUGAUAACGAGAAGCGCCUGCUUCUUUUUUGAAAGUCGGUUUCGGCUGACGCUUACAGAUGGGCCCGCGGCGCAUUAGCUGGUUGGUGAGGUAACGGCUCACCAAGGCGACGAUGCGUAGCCGACAUGAGAGGGUGAUCGGCCACACUGGGAAUGAGACACGGCCCAGACUCCUACGGGAGGCAGCAGUAGGGAAUCUUCGGCAAUGGACGAAAGUCUGACCGAGCAACGCCGCGUGAGCGAUGAAGGCCGUCGGGUCGUAAAGCUCUGUUGUCAGAGAAGAACAAGUACCGGAGUAACUGCCGGUACCUUGACGGUACCUGACCAGAAAGCCACGGCUAACUACGUGCCAGCCGCCGCAGUAACAC
rnacentral:rRNA from 1 species